UAUGACAUCAGAAACUAAUCCCAAUGGUCAUUCUGAAAGUGAAUACCCAAAUGAAAACACAAGUUUGAAGGAAUUUGAAAUCCCAACUAAGAUAGAAGGUGGGGACAAUGCAGCAUUAGUUAUCUACACUAGUGGAACAACUGGUAAGCCAAAAGGUGUCGUUCACACGCAUCGAAGCGUGUCGGCACAAGUACCCAUCUAUAUGCCCUCUCAGUUCUAAUCUAUGGGCCUAGGGUAAUGUCAUUCUCUAAAUGCCAUAUCUUGGACUUGUUUAAUAUAUAAUAUAAGGUGAUGCAUAUUGAGUCGUUAUUAUAAAUCUCUACUGUGAAUUGUUGUCUAUUACUCUACAACCUGUAAAUUUCUACAAGGCAUUUUCUAGAAUUUUACUUGAUUUGCAACUGAUUAACGAGGGUAUUCGAGUGAUAGAAGGAACUGAGAAUUCAGAAGAAGCUUGGAACAAUUGGGGCUUUGAGUCUCUCGGUUGUUUCUUCUAUUUCUAUUGUUAUAUGCAAUAAAGCCCUUAUGAGUUCUCUGGGUUUUCAUUUUGAUGGUUGUUGCGAUCAAGAAGAUACUAUAUGCUGCUGACGAGAAGGAAUCUGCGCUCUCCGAAGCUCAGCAAGUUCUGUUAAAAUCCCUUGAUUUUGAUGUAGUUGAUCCUGAGGAGGAGAAGAGUGUAGACUGAUGUGUUACAGACUCUGGAUCAUAAACACAUGUCAAUUUCUCCAGUGAAACAAGAGAAUUGAAGACCCUGUCCUGUUUUAUGGUUUCCUUAUCACAAGUCAUAACCAUGUACACAUCAAUGAUAAACGUACAAUGGCAAUGGAACAUUAGUUUUCUCAUAAGGAAGUUCUGUUGUUUAAUUGUAUUUGAUUUUGUUACAGUUGAUACAUUUCUUGGCUGCUCAUGUAUUCAGUUGUGAUUUUUUGGCUCCUGUUAUAAGAUGGAAUUUUUGUUUCGUUUUCU